UGAGAUGUCAGUCAGAUAUCUACAGAUGCUCUCAUGUCUCUGUACCUGCUAUCAGCAUGAAGUAGGCAAUGUGGAUGUAAGAUGUUAUUUUUGUCCUAGGGUGUGGACCGAGUGAAGGCAUACAUCCCUGAUGCCAUCUGGUAUGACUAUGAGACAAAUGUAGCUAUUCUAGAGAGAAAGAAUUGGAUGGAGAUGUUUCUUCCUGGGGACAAGAUAGGACUUCACCUUCGAGGGGGCUACAUCUUCCCCACACAGGAGCCAGCUGAGACCACAGAAGCCAGUCGUAAAAAUCCUUUAGGAUUCAUCAUUGCCCUGGAUGACAAAAAAGAAGCAAAGGGAGAGCUGUUUUGGGAUGAUGGUGAAACAAUGG